AUUAAGAUGGUCACGGUGCCUCACCAGAAACACAAAUCCCAGUUACUGGUGGUAGACCUAGCUGUAAAACACUCUUCUGGCAGGAAAUUAAUGUAUCCUAAUGAUGAUUUCCAGGAGAUUCAGCUUCCUUUCUGUCUGCUGUUAAACUGGAGGAAAGUAGGAACUGCCAUCUUCUCUGGAGAGCCAGAGGCUAACAGAUCCUUUCUGGAGAAAAAGUCAGAUGCUGGAUGGAGGAGGUGACCAAAUGACAUCUUAAGAAGUGACCCACCCCGUGUUGCAUAUUGACACUUUGCAGUGCAGCAUCUUUUCUGUGAAGGUGAAGUUCAGCUGGAGCAAAACAGCAGCCAAAAGUGGCAGCUGAAACUAACCUGCAUAAUUCCCUGCUGAUUGAAAAUGAACCAGGUGAUUGCAGUGUCCUAUAAGCUACUUAAUGAAGAGUCUAUCAUGCAGCCAUGCUAUGAGUCAGACUUUUAAAACUUACAUGCUUUACUUCUCUUUGUACCAACUGCAGUGAUGAAUAUGGCAGAUUGUGAUGAUAGUAGCUAUGUAACACCAACCAUCUUAAAAGGAUCAAUUUGAGAUGAGUACUGUGUCUAGAAGGAAACACCUUUUAUUUCAGAGAAAAGAAAUGCGGCCUUACAGUAAUAUGUAUUUUUCACUUUGCAAAAUCACAGUUGUCCGAGGUGGGAAGGAACCUCUGAAGAUCAUCAAGUCCAGCCCCCCUGCUGAGCAGAAUCGCCUAGAGCACCUUGCGCAGGAUCACAUCCAGGUGGAUUUUGAAUAUCUCCAGAGAAGGAGACUGCACAUCCUCUCUGGGCAACCUGUCCCAGUGCUCUGUCACCCUCCCAGUAAAGAAGUGCCCCCUCAUAUUGAGCCGUAACCUCCUGUGCUUCAGUUUGUGCCCAUUGCCUCUCCUCCUGUUGCUGGGCACAAUGGAAAAGAGACCGGCUCCAUCCUCUUGACACCCUCCCCUCAGGUGUUUAUACACAUUAUGAGGUCUUCCCUCAGUCUUCGCUUUUCCAGGCUAACCAGGCCUAGUUCUUUCAGCCUGUCCUGGUAUGACAGGUGCUCCAGUCCU